ACUGGGAUAACUCCGGGAAACCGGGGCUAAUACCGGAUAACAUUUUGAACCGCAUGGUUCGAAAUUGAAAGGCGGCUUCGGCUGUCACUUAUGGAUGGACCCGCGUCGCAUUAGCUAGUUGGUGAGGUAACGGCUCACCAAGGCAACGAUGCGUAGCCGACCUGAGAGGGUGAUCGGCCACACUGGGACUGAGACACGGCCCAGACUCAUACGGGAGGCAGCAGUAGGGAAUCUUCCGCAAUGGACGAAAGUCUGACGGAGCAACGCCGCGUGAGUGAUGAAGGCUUUCGGGUCGUAAAACUCUGUUGUUAGGGAAGAACAAGUGCUAGUUGAAUAAGCUGGCACCUUGACGGUACCUAACCAGAAAGCCACGGCUAACUACGUGCCAGCAGCCGCGGUAAUACGUAGGUGGCAAGCGUUAUCCGGAAUUAUUGGGCGUAAAGCGCGCGCAGGUGGUUUCUUAAGUCUGAUGUGAAAGCCCACGGCUCAACCGUGGAGGGUCAUUGGAAACUGGGAGACUUGAGUGCAGAAGAGGAAAGUGGAAUUCCAUGUGUAGCGGUGAAAUG
rnacentral:rRNA from 1 species